AGUAAUUGUCACAAUUAAUUAAAAUACAUGUGUAUGCCUUUUUAGAUAAAUUCCAUCAGACCAGUUUCUGUCUGGUUGGAAAAUAAUAACUGCCUAUUUGCUAAGUGCCCCUGCCCUUUGAACAAACCAGCCACAAAAGAUAUUUCAGGGAGACCAAGCUGGAAGGAUCACUUGAGGCCAGGAGUUUGAGACCAGCCUGGGCAACGUAGUAAGACCUCCAUCUCUACAAAAACAAUAAAUUAGCUGGGCAUGGUGGUGUGCACCUAUAGUCCUAGCUACUCAGGAAGCUGAGGCAGGAAGAUCACUUGACACAUGUCAUACGAGUAUCUUGUACAUGUUUGCGUACUCGUGUCUGUGAACUUACAUCUCAGACUUCAACUUCUCGCUUCCCACC
rnacentral:lncRNA from 10 species